AUUCCCAGUGAGACACCGAAGAGUCCACCAUCUACUCCCUCCGCACUCCCCUCUCACACAUCCCCUCUCCUGUUAGAGAGAUGAUGAAGCUGCUUCUGCCUCACAGAAGGAUCAUAAAAACCUGUAUCCCAUAAGCUGAAGUCAGCCCAAUGAACUACACAAACAGCAAUAACCAAAACAAAGCAAGCAGGAAACGCGCAGCAUCUGUUAUGAUCGCACAACCACAAGACAGCUGUUUAAUCCCAACUGUUAGCAUAAGAUCAUUUGAGUGUUUGAAGAGCGAUCCCAUUUGGAUAUCCCCCCACUUAUUUAUUUAUUUCUUAGCUUUUCCAAGAGUGAGGCUUUCUCAGCUGGAGGACACGAUCUGCGCUCCUGGCUCUCUCCCCACUUUCACCCGCAGCUUCCGAAGGAGAGAGGUCAUGUCAAUCUUGGAAACGGAAGGAACGCCUUUUUUCUCUAUGCAUUUUCAGCUAGAGGAUUUCAGAAUCUCAACAGAAAUGUCAGCAGCAUCAGCAACAGAGUAAAGGUGCUUGAUAGCAAGACAGCAAAAGAAAUCGUGGAUGUCGGUUCAGCACCGUGAUGCUCGUACCGUCCACUGGAGCAGUUUGAAGAAAGACUUUCAUUAACAUACUUACACAGCAGUUGGCAUGCUUCCGGUGGCACAAUCAGGAUUCAAGGCAGAGCGCUUAAUGCCAAAGGGUAUUUCAUUGACACUCUCAGCACCAGAAUCUUCAAGGACUUCACCCCAGGCACAACGAUACUGAAGCAAAUGAACGUUUAGAGUGUUCUGAUAAAGAACGAUGGGUUUUUGUUGUUGUUGUUGUUUUGUUUUGUGUUUUUGUUUUGUUUUGUUUUUCCUUUUAAAUUAAACUCUCCAACUCAACUGCC
rnacentral:lncRNA from 1 species